rnacentral:snRNA from 1 species
GUGCUCACUUCAGCAGCACAUAUACAAAAAUCAGAAUGAUACAGAGCAGAUGAGCAUGGCCCCCCCCCGCACAAGGAUGACACGCAAAUUCGUGAGGUGUUCCACGUUUUU